rnacentral:rRNA from 1 species
GAUGAACGCUGGCGGCGUGCCUAAUACAUGCAAGUCGAGCGAACAGACGAGGAGCUUGCUCCUCUGACGUUAGUGGCGGACGGGUGAGUAACACGUGGAUAACCUACCUAUAAGACUGGGAUAACUUCGGGAAACCGGAGCUAAUACCGGAUAAUAUAUUGAACCGCAUGGUUCAAUAGUGAAAGACGGUUUUGCUGUCACUUAUAGAUGGAUCCGCGCCGCAUUAGCUAGUUGGUAAGGUAACGGCUUACCAAGGCAACGAUGCGUAGCCGACCUGAGAGGGUGAUCGGCCACACUGGAACUGAGACACGGUCCAGACUCCUACGGGAGGCAGCAGUAGGGAAUCUUCCGCAAUGGGCGAAAGCCUGACGGAGCAACGCCGCGUGAGUGAUGAAGGUCUUCGGAUCGUAAAGCUCUGUUAUUAGGGAAGAACAAAUGUGUAAGUAACUAUGCACGUCUUGACGGUACCUAAUCAGAAAGCCACGGCUAACUACGUG